UUCUAGCCCCUCUCACCUCUGCCUCUGUGGGCUUUGGGUUUCUAUUCGCACCUCCCUCUUUAUUCUUACGACUGCUUCUCCAGGGCUCUCCUUUCUUUGUGAUUACCUGAACUUGGGUCGCUAUGGCCCCAUGGCCUCCCUGUUCCUAGGGUGGUGAGAGGGUGAGUCCCAGCAGGUUCCACCAUCUGUGUCCAGAAUGCCCAGCAGGUUCCACCAUCUGUGUCCAGAAUGCCCAGCAGGUUCCACCAUCUGUGUCCAGAAUGCCCAGCAGGUACCACCAUCUGUGUCCAGAAUGCCCAGCAGGUACCACCAUCUGUGUCCAGAAUGCCCAGCAGGUUCCACCAUCUGUGUCCAGAAUGCCCAGCAGGUUCCACCAUCUGUGUCCAGAAUGCCAGAUGGCUGCUUGUACAAAUGUCGAGUCACCGUGCUGGUCGGAAGGACAAGUAUGGCCUUGGCUUGUGGAGCUGGGAGAAGCAGAUCAGUUGGAGUUCUUGGUGGCAACCAAGAGAAACACAGAAAGUGCUCUGGCGAGUCAUGACAGAAAAGGAGCUUAUCAAAAAGACAGUGAUUGGUCACAGGACCCCUGGUAGAGUGAGAGUCGCGCUGGGGGCCUGUCUAGCCAGUAACAGUGCUCCAAGCUUUGCUGCAAAGCCCGUCUGGGUAGACUCCCAUCCAGACAUAGGAAGUGUAGAGCUUACCCCACAGCAGCGAUAUGGGAGCCACCUUUGUGGCGACUGAGGCCGGCAAUCCAGCGUCCUGAUGAGCCUCUGACGCCCCAUUCAGCUGCAGCCUCUCCCGCCAGCUGGCGUGACGCUGCGGCACUUCCCCAGCAACGUGUAUUCUCAACAACGUGACAAAGGCCGCACUGGAGGGGAGGCAGCUGACUGCAGCAGGCCUCCGUGUCGGGUCACGGACCAGCGGCAUCAGCAUCACCUGGGAUCUUGUUAGAAAAGCAGAUUUUCAGCUGCCCCGAAGCUAAUCUGAGUUCUGACCAGACCUCCAGCCACUUCAGAUGCAGGCUCAGGUGCGACAGCCUGAUGGAGGCAGUGUCUGGGUCUAAAGUCCCCUGAAUUGGAGGACAGGCUCUGACACUUGCGAACUGUGUGACUUUGGGCAACUUAUUAACAGUAGGGGCCCCACUGUCCCAGUCUUCCUGGAACUGCCCUGGUUUCAGCACUCACAGUCCCAGAAACCUGGGAAGCCUCUCUGUUCCAGACAAACAGGACAGUUGGUCACCCUAAAACAUCUCUCUGCCUCACGAUUCUUGCCAUAAAAUGAAGAAAAUAAAGCGAGUUAAUACAUCAAAGUGUUUGAAACAGCCUGGUGAGAGUAAACGCUGAUGAAUGUCAGCUGGGCUGAGCCGAUACCCUCACUUCUCAACGUUAGACCAUCUAAACUUUAUUUGUUAACCUAAUAAAAUUGUUAAAUAAACAAAGUGCUUAAAACUGUCCCUUCCAGAAUAGUGAACGCUCAGUAAGUUCCAUCUAUUCUUAUUUGUAUUCUUAUUAUCUAUUAGCUAGUAUUAUUGGGCCACAAUCAAGCCCACGGGUUUUGGUUUUAUAUAUGUGCAGAUGGUUUAUUUGGCUGCGCCGGGUCUUAGUUGCAGUAUGUGGGAUCUAGUCUCCUGACCAGGGAUUGAACCCAGGCCCCCUGCAUGGGCAGCAUGGAGUCUUAACCACUGGACUAGCAGGGGAGUCCCAAGAGCAGGAUUUAAGUGACCAUCAGAGCAGACAAUUAGAACCAUCCCAGACACUCAUGGUAGCCCCAGUUCAGUUCAGUUCAG
ensembl:lncRNA